rnacentral:rRNA from 1 species
GAUGAACGCUGGCGGCGUGCUUAACACAUGCAAGUCGAACGAUGAAGCCCAGCUUGCUGGGUGGAUUAGUGGCGAACGGGUGAGUAACACGUGAGUAACCUGCCCUUAACUCUGGGAUAAGCCUGGGAAACUGGGUCUAAUACCGGAUAGGAGCGUCCACCGCAUGGUGGGUGUUGGAAAGAUUUAUCGGUUUUGGAUGGACUCGCGGCCUAUCAGCUUGUUGGUGAGGUAAUGGCUCACCAAGGCGACGACGGGUAGCCGGCCUGAGAGGGUGACCGGCCACACUGGGACUGAAACACGGCCCAGACUCCUACGGGAGGCAGCAGUGGGGAAUAUUGCACAAUGGGCGCAAGCCUGAUGCAGCGACGCCGCGUGAGGGAUGACGGCCUUCGGGUUGUAAACCUCUUUCAGCAGGGAAGAAGCGAAAGUGACGGUACCUGCAGAAGAAGCACCGGCUAACUACGUG